rnacentral:rRNA from 1 species
UCUGACAUUACUUGUAUCAAAAUACAAAACAACUUUUGGCAACGGAUCUCUUGGCUCUCGCAACGAUGAAGAACACAGCGAAAUGCGAUAAGUAGUGUGAAUUGCAGAAUUCAGUGAACCAUCGAAUCUUUGAACGCACAUUGCGCUUCCUGGUAUUCCGGGGAGCAUGCUCGUUUCAGAAUCAGUAAAACAACCCAACAUUUUGAUGCUUUAUAAACAUUAAUGUGCUGGUUUUAUGGUGGUGUUUGUUUAUGUAAAUAGACAAUCCACUAAAAAAUUCUGGAUGCUUGAAUCAGUCUUUUAUGACGUGAGUCUAUACACUGCAACAGAUAAUGAAUCAGUAUAUGGGAGCAUGACAUGAAAGCUCUUUUGAGUAUCUUCAAAUCAAUUAAGAUUGAAUAAGCUUUUGCUCAUUCAAUUCUUCAACUUGGUCUGAAAUCGAGCAAGAAAACCCGCUGAACUUAAGCAUAUCAAUAAGCGGAGGA